rnacentral:tRNA from 1 species
GGGCCCGUAGCUCAGCCAGGUAGAGCGGCGGGCUCUUAACCCGUAGGCCGCGUGCCCUGGCCAGCGCGGGCGGAAGUCCCGGGUUCGAAUCCCGGCGGGCCCG